rnacentral:lncRNA from 1 species
UAGCUGGCUUUCUAGGUUACAGACAGUGUAGUCCUUGGUGGUUAUUUGUCAUUUUCAAAUUGCAGUUGCCAACGAUCAUAGCUGACAAUGCAGGCUAUGACAGUGCAGAUCUGGUGGCACAGCUCCGAGCUGCUCACAGUGAAGGCCGUAUAACUGCUGGACUGGAUAUGAAGGAAGGCAGCAUUGGUGAUAUGGCAGUACUGGGUAUAACCGAGAGCUUUCAAGUGAAGCGGCAGGUUCUUUUGAGUGCGGCGGAAGCAGCAGAGGUGAUUCUACGAGUGGACAACAUCAUCAAAGCGGCACCAAGGUACUAGAGCGCUUGCACUCCUGGGACAGUGUACUGAGACAGAGUCCAGGGAGCUUGAUAGUUGUAUUUAACGGGACAGUUAUUUUAGUAGACUGUUACAUAAGCUAUCUAAAAUAUGUAGUCAUAGUUCUUAAGAUUAGAAAGGCUUAGGAAGAAAGUGGUUUGGGUAGCCAGGGGCCCACUCAUCUUGGAAGGACUAAAGAGCCAGGCUUAUGAAAGUCAAGGAUCAGGGAGCUGUGAGUGUCUGAGCUUCAAGCACUAAGACGGCAGGUGCCCUACACAUGCAUGGCUCAUAAACAUUCUCAAGUACCCAUUGACAAGUCCUUUCCAGGUUCAUAUUGUAGAAAGUAACUAAGUUCUCUUUAAAAUGCUGUCACACAGAAGUGGUUAAAUUAAGUGCAUCCGUCUGCUUCAUGUUGCUGUGUCAAAUUGUGACGACGGAAG